GAUGAACGCUAGCUACAGGCUUAACACAUGCAAGUCGAGGGGCAGCAUGGUCUUAGCUUGCUAAGGCCGAUGGCGACCGGCGCACGGGUGAGUAACACGUAUCCAACCUGCCGUCUACUCUUGGACAGCCUUCUGAAAGGAAGAUUAAUACAAGAUGGCAUCAUGAGUCCGCAUGUUCACAUGAUUAAAGGUAUUCCGGUAGACGAUGGGGAUGCGUUCCAUUAGAUAGUAGGCGGGGUAACGGCCCACCUAGUCUUCGAUGGAUAGGGGUUCUGAGAGGAAGGUCCCCCACAUUGGAACUGAGACACGGUCCAAACUCCUACGGGAGGCAGCAGUGAGGAAUAUUGGUCAAUGGGCGAGAGCCUGAACCAGCCAAGUAGCGUGAAGGAUGACUGCCCUAUGGGUUGUAAACUUCUUUUAUAAAGGAAUAAAGUCGGGUAUGGAUACCCGUUUGCAUGUACUUUAUGAAUAA
rnacentral:rRNA from 1 species